rnacentral:rRNA from 1 species
GAUGAACGCUAGCGGCAGGCCUAAUACAUGCAAGUCGAACGCUCAGUAGCAAUACUGGGAGUGGCGCACGGGUGCGUAACGCGUACACAAUCUACCUCUAAGCGGGGGACACCUCCUGGAAAACGGGGAUUAAUACCGCAUAAUAUGCCGAGGUCGCAUGACUUGGUAUUAAAGCAGCAAAUGCACUUAGAGAUGAGUGUGCGUCCCAUUAGGUAGUUGGUGAGGUAACGGCUCACCAAGCCUAUGAUGGGUAGCCGGUCUGAGAGGAUGGUCGGCCACACGGGCAACUGAGACACGGGCCCGACUCCUACGGGAGGCAGCAGUAAGGAAUAUUGGUCAAUGGUGGAAACACUGAACCAGCCAUGCCGCGUGGAGGAAUAAAGGUCCUACGGAAUUGUAAACUCCUUUUGACGAGGAAG